AUUGAACGCUGGCGGCAGGCUUAACACAUGCAAGUCGAGCGAGCGGCGGCCGGGUGAGUAAUUUAUGGGAAACUGCCUGAUGGAGGGGGAUAACUACUGGAAACGGUAGCUAAUACCGCAUACCAUCAGAUGUGCCCAGAUGGGAUUAGCUAGUAGGUUGGGUAAUGGCUCACCUAGGCCACGAUCCCUCGCUGGUCUGAGAGGAUGACCCGCCAGAAUGGAACUGAGAACCGGGCCAGACUCCUACGGGAGGCAGCAGGGGGGAAUAUUGCACAAGGGGCGCAAGCCUGAUGCAGCCAUGCCGCGUGUGUGAAGAAGGCCUUCGGGUUGUAAAGCACUUUCAGCGAGGAGGCGUUACUCGCAGAAGAAGCACCGGCUAACUCCGUGCCAGCAGCCGCGGUAAUUCC
rnacentral:rRNA from 1 species